rnacentral:sRNA from 1 species
UGAUAUAGAUAGGUGAUACAGAUAGGUGAUACAGACAGAUGAUAUAGAUAGGUGAUACAGACAGGUGAUAAAGACAGGUGAUACAGACGUGAUACAGACAUGUAAUACAGACAUGAGAUAAAGACAUGUGAUACAGACGUGAUAAAGACAGGUGAUACAGACGUGAUACAGACAUGUGAUACAGACAGGAGAUAAAGACAUGUGAUACAGACAGGUGAUAUAGAUAGGUGAUACAGAUAGG